rnacentral:tRNA from 3 species
CGGGGUAUGGGAAAGCUUGGCAAUCCGCCUCGUUCGGGACGAGGAGACCGGCGGUUCAAAUCCGUCUACCCCGAC